rnacentral:lncRNA from 1 species
UGGACACUGUGUGAGUGUUGGAGUGUGACCCCUGUUGAGAGGCAGGAAGAGGCUGGACACUGAGCCCACCAUGGCGUUCAGCAGUGGGCCUCAGGGAGGCCAUCAGGGUUGCUUAAGGAAGGCUGUUGCUGGGAGUCUCCCUGAGAACUCCCUGGGCCUUUCAAACAUGGCGGCGAGCAAAUUGCCAGUGGGCGGCUAGAACUCCCCGGGCCUUUCAGCUCCUGGGAGACUGGCACAUCGUGCGCUGGGCAGGAGACUUGACUAUUCCCGAGGAGAGGAAGACCCACCCGCUGCCUCCCUUCAAGUUCGUCAGAAACAAGCUCAACAAGCUGGAGUUCAGGAUGAACCUCAUGAAACCCAUAGGAUGCAUUCAGUUCCAAAUGAUCCUGGAUGUAGCCUCCCGGGGCACCUUUCAAACCGGUUGGAGGCACACCAUCUCUGUCCACUUCUUGCCAGGGAAGGAUCACGCCAUUGCCUACUUCAAGGGCAAGAUACAGCAAACCUACCAGAUGACGAUGCUCAUGGGUGUGCUCCAGCCUCUGGACCGUGUGGAGUUGGGUGUGAACCUCCAGGGUGCCGGCAGACAGGGUGCAGUGCCUUCCAGUCCAGCUAUCUGCAGUUCCCACCCAGGCAGCCAUUUCUGGGACUCCUGGACUCUCGGUGGGAGAGGACCCCUCCCUAGAGGGUUGGGGAGUGGCACCUCUUUCCUGUGGAAAUCUCAGAGACAGGAAGCCCCUGGGGCCCCUGAGCUUUGCCAGGAGCUCAGAGGCAUAAGUGUCUAG